GCAUUGCUGAAGAGUCCCAAACUGGGACGAAACAGUUGUCCAGAAC
rfam:Trichobilharzia regenti genome assembly, scaffold: TRE_contig0015031